rnacentral:rRNA from 1 species
AGUCGUAACAAGGUUUCCGUAGGUGAACCUGCGGAAGGAUCAUUACUGUGAAUAUAACUUCCACACAUGCGUGAGCGCACAAAACACACAAACCGUGAGUAUUUCUAGUCGAAAACAAAACAAAAAAUACAAAACUUUCAACAACGGAUCUCUUGGUUCUCGCAUCGAUGAAGAGCGCAGCGAAAUGCGAUACCUAGUGUGAAUUGCAGCCAUCGUGAAUCAUCGAGUUCUUGAACGCACAUUGCGCCCGUCGGUAUUCCGGCGGGCAUGCCUGUCUGAGCGUCGUUUCCUUCUUGAAGCUUUUUUUUAAAGAAAGAUUCAGAAUUGGCCGUGCCACUGGCCCGGCCGAAAAGAAACGUUGCGGACGAAGCGAACUACAUCGGGACGCUUUGGCCGCCGAGCGAAAAUAUAUCAUUGAGCUCGACCUCAGAUCAGGUAGGAGUACCCGCUGAACUUAAGCAUAUCAAUAA